GUUGGUCUGUCUGUUGGUCUGUCCGUUGGUCUGUCUGUUUGCACCAACUUUAACAUUUUGCAAUAACUUUUGCUAUAUUGAAGAUAGCAACUUCAUAUUUGGCAUGCAUGUGUAUCUCAUGAAGCUGCACAUUUUGAGUGGUAAAAGGUCAAGGUCAAGGUCAUCCUUCAAGGUCAGAGGUCAAAUAUAUGUGGCCAAAAUCGCUCAUUUUAUGAAUACUUUUGCAAUAUUGAAGAUAGCAACUUGAUAUUUGGCAUGCAUGUGUAUCUCAUGGAGCUGCACAUUUUGAGUGGUGAAAGGUCAAGGUCAUCCUUCAAGGUCAGAGGUCAAAUAUAUGUGGCCCAAAUCGCUUAUUUUAUGAAUACUUUUGCAAUAUUGAAGAUAGCAACUUGAUAUUUGGCAUGCAUGUGUAUCUCAUGGAGCUGCAUAUUUUGA